CUUAUCUGUCUAUUUCGUUCCCUUCUCCGCUCUGCACUUCAAUCUCACCUCAGUCUCAGCACUUCAAAGAAUAAAGCCAUUUUAAUUCUUUGAAGUCUUAGUCUCCUUUUUGUUCAGUUUUCUAUUUCAAAAUCUGUUGCAGCUUCAACUUGGCACACAGAAUGGGGAAAACGGCUUACUAUGGCUUAAAGGAAUUACAUUGUGGUGAAGUUCUUUUUUCUGUUCCUGUUGUUCAAAGUCUAAUGCUCUCCUGGAUAUGGGAUUUCGCUGGUUGUGGAAAUUACGUCUGGUUGCUUCAUCUCUGCAGACACUGUUGUUUCUCAAGUGAGGGAUGAAGAUACUUCUGGCCUUGCAGGUGAUGCGAAAAGAGACUUGAUGCCUCCAGAGGAUGUUGGUGUGGGGAUUGUUAAUGCUUUACUAGGGAAGAUAGCUCAAAGUGGAGUGGUAGAUUCAUCACAUCAGGGUUUAUUAUUUCUUCUUUGUGCUCUAUGCCCUCAAGAUGUUUCCAAGGUCCGUGUAGGAAAACUUUCCCAGCAUGGAGUCGAAACUCAAACAUAAUGGAUUUUCUUGAUUUGAAGUUUAUUAUCAAACCAGAUCCGAACUCACAGUCAGUUUUUCAAAAGUGUAUUGGUUAUGGUAUGAAGAACCUUUCUCGAAAGGUAUCAUAAAGUGGGGUCAAUAGUGUGAUAUAAUUCAAACUGAGUUUGACAGAAUUGUAAUUUUGAAGCAACUGCUACUUCAGCACCUGGAAAAGAACUCAAAAGCAGCUUCAAUAUAUAGUAUUAUGCCAAUGAUUAUGAUAUACCCCACUCCGCCUCCUCCCAAAUGAAUUACAGGUGGAGUUCGGUUUCAAUUGUAACCCAUUGCUAGCAAUAUAUAUAUAUAUAUAUAUGGGUGUUUUUCACAUAUGAUUUUACUUACUUUUAGCGUUUUUCUGAUCCUGAACACCAAACACUUCUCCAUUUUGCAGUACUAUAAAAGAAAUCCUUGUGUAUACCAGAUCAUGUAGUUGAUAGUCUAUGAUUCUCCAAAACCUAACGCAGAUAAGCUGCACCAUAGCUUAUUACUAUGCAUCUGUAAGCUUUGUUUUCCAAUAAAGACUGCAUGAAAAUUGACUAGCAAUUAGUAGAAUUUCUUGGAACAAACUGAUAGUUUGAAGAAUCUGAAUAUCAAAAUAAGAAAGAUAAAUAAAUUUGCCAGAGCCUUGAGCUCUAAAUGUUAUUCUGAGCAUUGUCUGUCAGAGAAUGAUUUCAAAGUAUGUAAUCUGUGAACUAUGGCCCUCGAUUUGGUUUGUGGGUGAGUCCAUAUAGUAAAUGAUGCUUGCUGCCUGGA